rnacentral:rRNA from 1 species
AGAGUUUGAUCCUGGCUCAGGAUGAACGCUGGCGGCGUGCUUAACACAUGCAAGUCGAACGAUCCUUCGGGAUAGUGGCGGACGGGUGAGUAACGCGUGGGAAUCUGCCCUCAGGAGGGGGAUAACGGCUGGAAACGGCCGCUAAUACCCCAUAUGCCGAGAGGUGAAAUGAAUUUCGCCUGAGGAUGAGCCCGCGUCUGAUUAGCUAGUUGGUGGGGUAAAGGCCUACCAAGGCAACGAUCAGUAGCUGGUCUGAGAGGAUGAUCAGCCACACUGGGACUGAGACACGGCCCAGACUCCUACGGGAGGCAGCAGUGGGGAAUUUUCCGCAAUGGGCGAAAGCCUGACGGAGCAACGCCGCGUGAGGGAUGAAGGCCUCUGGGCUGUAAACCUCUUUUCUCAAGGAAGAAGACCUGACGGUACUUGAGGAAUAAGCCACGGCUAAUUCCGUGCCAGCAGCCGCGGUAAUACGGGAGUGGCAAGCGUUAUCCGGAAUUAUUGGGCGUAAAGCGUCCGCAGGCGGCCUUGUAAGUCUGUUGUUAAAGCGUGGAGCUCAACUCCAUUUAAGCAAUGGAAACUACAAGGCUGGAGUGUGGUAGGGGCAGAGGGAAUUCCCGGUGUAGCGGUGAAAUGCGUAGAUAUCGGGAAGAACACCAGUGGCGAAGGCGCUCUGCUGGGCCAUAACUGACGCUCAUGGACGAAAGCCAGGGGAGCGAAAGGGAUGAUACCCCUGUAGUCCUGGCCGUAAACGAUGAACACUAGGUGUCGGGGGAAUCGACCCCCUCGGUGUCGUAGCCAACGCGUUAAGUGUUCCGCCUGGGGAGUACGCACGCAAGUGUGAAACUCAAAGGAAUUGACGGGGGCCCGCACAAGCGGUGGAGUAUGUGGUUUAAUUCGAUGCAACGCGAAGAACCUUACCAGGGUUUGACAUCCUGCGAACCCCUGAGAAAUCGGGGGGUGCCUUCGGGAGCGCAGAGACAGGUGGUGCAUGGCUGUCGUCAGCUCGUGUCGUGAGAUGUUGGGUUAAGUCCCGCAACGAGCGCAACCCACGUCUUUAGUUGCCAGCAUUCAGUUGGGCACUCUAGAGAGACCGCCGGUGAUAAACCGGAGGAAGGUGUGGAUGACGUCAAGUCAUCAUGCCCCUUACAUCCUGGGCUACACACGUACUACAAUGCUACGGACAAAGGGCAGCAAGGUCGCGAGAGUUAGCAAAUCCCAUAAACCGUGGCUCAGUUCAGAUCGUAGGCUGCAACUCGCCUACGUGAAGGAGGAAUCGCUAGUAAUCGCAGGUCAGCAUACUGCGGUGAAUACGUUCCCGGGCCUUGUACACACCGCCCGUCACACCAUGGAAGUUGGCCAUGCCCGAAGUCGUUACUCCAACCUAU